CCUCUCUCUUAGUCCUGAAUUUCUUGCCGUCACCUACUUCAUCUCAAUCUCAAUCUCUCUGCAUUCAUCUUAAUGCCAUAAUAUCCAUGGCAGAUCCAUAAUCUUCAUAAAACACAAUCCUCACGUACUAGCAAGAUUCUAACUCCAUCUCUACAAUCACAUCCAUCUGAAAUGCCAGCUUAUACCAAAAACUCUAUUAUCCACCAAAAUCCCCAAAUCAAUCCAACUGAUCUCUAUUUUGCAACUCAUAAUUCAUUGAUACCUAUGUGGUUCUGAACAAACUUCAUUGGGUACAUCUCAUCCUCAACCAAUCGUUACAGAAGUAAGAAAAUGAUUCCUCAAAUUGGAGGUCUCUCAGAUGAUGAAGAAUUCAUGAGCAUGAUAAACAUCCCUGCUGCAAGAAAUACAAGGCUAGAAUCAUCCCCUCCUGUGAACGUAAAUGAUACUGUAAGAUCAUCAACAAUCCCAACUGUUGGCAAUGAGGUGUCGAUUGAACCGGCAAUAAAUGUCAAUGACAGUGGUGCAAAUAGUAGGCCAAGUAAGAAGCGUAAGCAAAAGACUCGCAAGACUCGAGGAAAGAAUAAGCCUAAGUUUGCAUUAGAAGGACGAGAGAAACUCCAAUUUAAUGCCAUUGGGCAGCCUGUUGGCCCAAGUAAAAAAGUUGUAGAAUUUGGUCGAUUCAUUGGACAACUUGCAAGUGAAUGCUCCAAUUUUCCUCUCAAUGCUGAAAAUUGGGCUGAGAUUUGCAAGGCAGGCAAAGUAGAUGAGGCAUGGCAAACUGUUCAAGAUGCAUUGGAUUGGUCAGAUCCUGAAACUCUAA
rnacentral:lncRNA from 1 species